rnacentral:pre_miRNA from 1 species
UGUUAAAAAAUUCAACAAUUGUACUAUUAAGAACGGACAUCGUUGACGAAAUAACUGGACAGUGACACGUGGUGUGCUAUGUAUACCACAUGCUGAUUUACAAAGACCAGUUUUUAAUAGUAGGAAUGAAUGAAAUUUUUAACA